UUUCACAGCAAAAAAUUAUAUAUGCGAUUAACUUAGAUUAAUUAAUCACAGAGUAUGUAAUUAAUUAGAUUAAUUGUUUUAAUGGAUUGACAGCCCUACACAUAAACACACACACAAGCA